UACGGGGGGGGGCAAGCGUUGUUCGGAAUUACUGGGCGUAAAGGGCGCGUAGGCGGUUUGCUAAGUUGGAUGUGAAAACUCUGGGCUUAACCCAGAGCCUGCAUCCAAAAACUGGCAAACUUGAGUACUGGAGGGGAAAGCGGAAUUCCUGGUGUAGCGGUGAAAUGCGUAGAUAUCAGGAGGAACACCGGUGGCGAAGGCGGCUUUCUGGACAGUAACUGACGCUGGAGGCGACGAAAGCUAGGGGAGCAAACAGG
rnacentral:rRNA from 1 species